AGUGAACGCUGGCGGUAGGCCUAACACAUGCAAGUCGAACGGCAGCACAGUAAGAGCUUGCUCUUACGGGUGGCGAGUGGCGGACGGGUGAGGAAUACAUCGGAAUCUACUUUUUCGUGGGGGAUAACGUAGGGAAACUUACGCUAAUACCGCAUACGCCCUACGGGUGAAAGCAGGGGAUCCUCGGACCUUGCGCGAUUGAAUGAGCCGAUGUCGGAUUAGCUAGUUGGCGGGGUAAAGGCCCACCAAGGCGACGAUCCGUAGCUGGUCUGAGAGGAUGAUCAGCCACACUGGAACUGAGACACGGUCCAGACUCCUACGGGAGGCAGCAGUGGGGAAUAUUGGACAAUGGGCGCAAGCCUGAUCCAGCCAUACCGCGUGGGUGAAGAAGGCCUUCGGGUUGUAAAGCCCUUUUGUUGGGAAAGAAAAGCAGCAGGUUAAUACCCCGCUGUUCUGACGGUACCCAAAGAAUAAGCACCGGCUAACUUCGUG
rnacentral:rRNA from 1 species